rnacentral:piRNA from 1 species
UAAUAUUGUGAGACAAAUCUGGUGUGGAAA